CCCGAUAUUACCAGUAGAAAGACCCCAACAGAUAUACAGUGUAAGAAGAUGUGGUAAGCGUGCCAAUGAGACUAUUAUCCAUUCAAAUCACAAUUUUCAAUUAUAUUCAAUUUCUACGGAAGAUUGGCUGUCAAAAUGCUAACAUUCCAAUUUUCAAUAACAGUUAACAGCAAAUAGAUUCUCACAAUAACAGAUAACAAAAUAGAUAAUAGUCCUAUAACAGCUAACAAAGAAUAAGACAAUAACAGCUAACAGUAAAUAUAUUUUCAGAAUAACAGAUAACAAAGAAUUAAAAUGCCCCAUAACAGCAUAACAGUUAAACCCCUUGCCCCCCCUCAA
rnacentral:lncRNA from 1 species